UCUAAAUCUCGGUCAUCACAAAGCUUUAAAUAACAGUUUGUGUUUAUUUGAGUGUGACGGAGGUUUUUGUACGACGCUUUCACUAGAAUGAAGCACUGUGGUACACUUUUGGUGGAGGAACUGAACUGACCAUCGCUGGUCCCGCAGUGAAGCCCUCCGUGUCUCUGCUGCCUCCCUCUUCUCUGCAGAUCUCUGGAGACUCAGCCGCACUGCUCUGUCUGCUCAGCUCUUACUCUCCACAGGGGGCGCAGGUGAGCUGGACGCUGGACGGGUCAGAGGUCACCGAGGGGGUUCAGACCAGCGCAGAGAGCGAGCGGGAC